AUUGAACGCUGGCGGCAUGCCUAACACAUGCAAGUCGAACGAGUGGCGGACGGGUGAGUAAUUUCUGGGAAACUGCCCGAUGGAGGGGGAUAACUGCUGGAAACGGUAGCUAAUACCGCAUACCAUCGGAUGUGCCCAGAUGGGAUGAGCUAGUAGGUGGGGUAACGGCUCACCUAGGCGACGAUCCCUAGCUGGUCUGAGAGGAUGACCAGCAACACUGGAACUGAGACACGGUCCAGACGCCUACGGGAGGCAGCAGUGGGGAAUAUUGGACAAUGGGCGCAAGUCUGAUGCAGCAACGCCGCGUGUAUGAAGAAGGCCUUCGGGUUGUAAAGUACUGUCAUCGGGGAGGCGUUACUCGCAGAGGAAGCCACGGCUAACUCCGUGCCAGCAGCCGCGGUAAUUC
rnacentral:rRNA from 1 species